UGCUGUGUAAAACCUAGAACUAGUUACAAGCACGAAGGAGCUCCUGAAGAUGAUCAUUUCCAGGCUUUCUGAGGCAGCUGAAGCCUCAGGCAGGCAGAGUGGAGAAACUAAUAGCAAAGGAACUGUAGGGAGAUGGAGUAGGAAGAACUCAUUUGUCCAUGGCACUGCAGACAAAAAUGGAAUUCCACCAGGAGAGCUAAAAUCUGGAGUAUCUGCUGGAUUGAUGGAUGAUUUGAUGCACACCAGCUUGAGAGACAAACGUGAUAUGCAACAACACCUCCACACAGUGCAGUUUGUCUUGUCAGCCAAACCCUGAUCUCUCAUGACAAGAACUGUAAGUUUAGCUGUAGCCUCUUUUCUAUAUCCUUUUUCUAGUAUAAAAUCACGUGGUGUAGUCAGGGGUUUAAUAUAGCACUGCCAACUCUUUACCUCAUACUCCAAUUCUGUAACACAAAGUGGUGAGUGGGGGUGUUUCAGUAGCAACUAUAAAACAUCUGUGCCUACUUUUGUAAAUGAGCUUUUAACAGUUUUUUUAGGGAGCAUCCAUUAUGGAUCAGGAAGACUGGCAUGGUCUGGGCCAGACUUGGCCUGAGUUAAUACUGACUCCCCACAGUUCUAGAUGAGGACUGUCUAGCCUAGUGAGGAAUAAUUGGUGAGACAAUACAAAACCUAGUGCUUUUUAAUAAUACCUGUUUUGUAAUUAGCUGGAGUGAUCUCUGCUUUGUGCUGUGAAGUGGGCACUUCUUUGUUUUAACACUAACCUUUUUUUACAUAGAUGGAAAUGAGAAAAGCCAGGACAUUUGAAGCUGAAACUGCUGCUGUGUUACCAGAUGAUGCUGUCCCUGUGCUCAUCUUGGUGGUUGGGCAGUUCAGCUCGAUUCUUGACAUUUUUAUCUUUCUAAUGGCAUUUGGAAAGCGGUGUUGAAGUUUUGUCUGUGUGUCUAUGCUUGUUUUCUUAUGGGGUGGGGAGUGUGGAGGUACUAGAUUGUCAGUGCUAGUGGUUCUGUGCCUGGCUUGAGGAACUGUAUCACAGCCCAGCUCUUGGCAUUCGUCUGAAAGUCGUAUCUUCUGUCUGGUGUGAAAAUACUCAGUCAGAGGGGGAAGAAAAGAGCAGCACUGACUUCCAAGAUGGGCAUUCUGGUAAAAAAAGCCAAAGUAUGUUGGAAGGGAGCAGGAGAGGGGAGCUAGUUUCUAAACAGAUCCCAAAAGCUGAUGGUGCUUGAAGACUGACUGUAUUGAAGUGAAAUGCCAUCUGCACUGACCCAAAAGCUUUGAGUGACUCCAGAGAGCUAUUGGCUGUGAAUUAAGAACAGCAGGCUGGCAAGGCUGGGCCUGCCCUUGUAAAUCUCUCUUCAUCUGUUCAUAACUGGGUGCUAAAACUCAAUUUUUACUAAAAUACACUAUGCAGAUCUCUGGCCAGACAGUGCAUCUUACUCCUUCCUGACAGCUUCUUAAACUUUCUUCAAGAUACCAGAGCAUGAGAAGGUAAGAGACCUGGGUAAGAGGCUGUUUCCAUUAUUUGAAUAAAAACUACAUAUGAUGGAGAGCAUGUGAUGGAGAGCAAAAUUUUUUAAGAACUAGGACCUGAGAGAGCAUCUUUUGAGGGAAGUGACAGAUUUGGAGUGGUGUGGAUUCUCUGCCGGUCCUUCCCGUCCAUCUCUUGUGCUGAGCUCGUGUGCAGGUGGUUGGGCACAAAGGCUGAGGGGAGACAGAAGGGAAGAAGGGGGAUGUGGAAGAGAAAUGAUCUGUUGGGAGCUCAUGAGACUUGGAAAGGUGGUUGAUGGACUAAGGUUUGGAAAUGUGUGUUCAAACUCCCGUUUGCAUUGAAGCCGUUAACUCUCCGUAGGAUAACGAGCGUCCCUCCAGUGAACAGCUCCUGUUACCUGGAACGUGGAAUGAGCUUGAGUUGUUGAUACACAUUAAAAAGUAUUUCUGGAGACUGUGCUGAACAUGGCUAGUGUUUCUUGCUCUAGUGAUGAGUUGUCUUGUUUGUGGAACCAAUAUGUACGAAAGCAAACUGACAAAACACCAGGUUAUCUCGUGACAUGACCACGUAGCUUAGGAAGCCAAGUAAUGUUAUCUUCUACUCUGCAAUGUACUUGCUCUCUGGUGCCUAUGCAUUAACACACAUACUAUGCAAUAUCAGUCUUUUUUUAAACCAGUUCACUGCAUUGGGCAACAAAGGCCUGAGUUUAGCCUUAAUUUUCUUAACAAUUCACAGGAAAGUACUUAAAAAACAGCGACAAACUAAAAGAAGGUGAAAAAUGCAUGAAGUAAAAGCACAGUUCCAGACUGCUCACAUAAGUGUCUUUCUAGCACCAAAACAGCAUCUGUGAUAGAAGCAGCUACUUGCUGUAAUAGUUUCAACUUAUGAAAACUGUGUACUAGAUAAAAUUAUAUUGUGAUGUGUAAAAAGUGUAUUUUAUAGCUUUGGUGACUUAGUUUACUGUUUUGUAUAUAUGAAUUUUAUAAAUCUAUUAAAACUUGACUUGUUAUACUGUU